UUCGUAGGGGGCAAGCGUUGUCCGGAUUUAUUGGGCGUAAAGAGCGUGCAGGCGGUUUGGUAGGUCUGCUGUGAAAACUCGAGGCUCAACCUCGAGACGCCGGUGGAAACCAUCAGACUAGAGUCCGGAAGAGGAGAGUGGAAUUCCUGGUGUAGCGGUGAAAUGCGCAGAUAUCAGGAAGAACACCCGUGGCUAAGGCGGCUCUCUAGUACGGUACUGACGCUGAGACGCGAAAGCGUGGGGAGCGAACAGG
rnacentral:rRNA from 1 species